rnacentral:rRNA from 1 species
GAUGAACGCUGGCGGCGUGCCUAACACAUGCAAGUCGAACGGGAAUCUUCGGAUUCUAGUGGCGGACGGGUGAGUAACGCGUAAGAAUCUAACUUCAGGACGGGGACAACAGUUGGAAACGACUGCUAAUACCCGAUAUGCCGCAAGGUGAAACCUAAUUGGCCUGGAGAAGAGCUUGCGUCUGAUUAGCUAGUUGGUGGGGUAAGAGCCUACCAAGGCGACGAUCUGUAGCUGGUCUGAGAGGACGAUCAGCCACACUGGAACUGAGACACGGUCCAGACUCCUACGGGAGGCAGCAGUGGGGAAUUUUCCGCAAUGGGCGAAAGCCUGACGGAGCAAUACCGCGUGAGGGACGAAGGCUUUUUGGGUCGUAAACCUCUUUUCUCAAGGAAGACACAGGACGGUACUUGAGGAAUAAGCAUCGGCUAACUCUGUGCCAGCAGCCGCGGUAAU